AGUCGACCCCUAAGGUGAGGCCGAAAGGCGUAAUCGAUGGGAAGCAGGUUAAUAUUCCUGCACGACUUGUAAUUGCGAUGGGGGGACGGAGAAGGCUAGGUGGGCCAGGCGACGGUUGUCCUGGUGAAAGUGCGUAGGUGGUGUUUGUAGGCAAAUCCGGAGACACAACACUGAGACACGAGACGAACGCACCACGGUGCGGAAGCCAUUGAUGCCCUGCUUCCAGGAAAAGCCUCUAAGCUUCAGAUUACAAGUCAUCGUACCCCAAACCGACACAGGUGGUCGGGUAGAGA
rnacentral:rRNA from 1 species